rnacentral:rRNA from 1 species
UUUUUUUUACAAUACUAUUUCACUAUAAUUAAAAUUAUUUUUUCUUUAUUAAAUACUAAAACAAAUCCUUAUAUAAUUAUUUUUAAUAAUUUAAAUUAAAAAAUAUAUAAAUUAAUAAAUAAAAUAUAAUCAAUUUAUAUUGAUUUGCACAAAAAUCUUUUCAAUGUAAAUGAAAUACUUUACUUAAUAAGCUUUAAAUUGCAUUCUAGAUACACUUUCCAGUACAUCUACUAUGUUACGACUUAUCUUACCUUAAUAAUAAGAGUGACGGGCGAUGUGUACAUAUUUUAGAGCUAAAAUCAAAUUAUUAGUCUUUAUAAUUUUACUAUCAAAUCCACCUUCAAUAAAUAUUUCAAAUUUAUUUUCGUAUAAAUAAUUUUAUUGUAACCCAUAUCUACUUAAAUAUAAGCUACACCUUGAUCUGAUAUAUUUUCUAUUUUAAAAUCAUGAAAAUUAACUUUCUUAUAAAAUAUUCUAAUAACAACGGUAUAUAAACUGAUAACAAAUUUAAGUAAGGUCCAUCGUGGAUUAUCGAUUAUAGAACAGGUUCCUCUGAAUAGACUAAAAUACCGCCAAAUUUUUUAAGUUUCAAGAACAUAGCUA